GAUGAACGCUGGCGGCGUGCUUAACACAUGCAAGUCGAACGGUGAAGCAGGAGCUUGCUCUUGUGGAUCAGUGGCGAACGGGUGAGUAACACGUGAGCAACCUGCCCCUGACUCUGGGAUAAGCGCUGGAAACGGCGUCUAAUACUGGAUAUGUGAUGUGACCGCAUGGUCUGCAUCUGGAAAGAAUUUCGGUUGGGGACGGGCUCGCGGCCUAUCAGCUUGUUGGUGAGGUAAUGGCUCACCAAGGCGUCGACGGGUAGCCGGCCUGAGAGGGUGACCGGCCACACUGGGACUGAGACACGGCCCAGACUCCUACGGGAGGCAGCAGUGGGAAUAUUGCACAAUGGGCGGAAGCCUGAUGCAGCAACGCCGCGUGAGGGAUGACGGCCUUCGGGUUGUAAACCUCUUUUAGCAGGGAAGAAGCGAAAGUGACGGUACCUGCAGAAAAAGCACCGGCUAACUACGUGCCAGCCGCCGCGGUAA
rnacentral:rRNA from 1 species